GCCUUGGAAACUCAGUCGGUAGAGCACGAGACUCUUAAUCUCAGGGUUGUGGGUCUGAGCCCCAUGUUGGGCA